GAUGAACGCUGACAGAAUGCUUAACACAUGCAAGUCAACUGUGGCGGACGGGUGAGUAACGCGUAAAGAACUUGCCUCACAGAUAGGGACAACAUUUGGAAACGAAUGCUAAUACCUGAUACUGUGAGAGAGGUUUGCGUCCCAUUAGCUAGUUGGGGAGGUAAGGGCUCACCACGGCGAUGAUGGGGAGCCGGCCUGAGAGGGUGAUCGGCCACAAGGGGACUGAGACACGGCCCUUGCUACUACGGGAGGCAGCAGUGGGGAAUAUUGAACAAAGGACCAAAGUCUGAUCCAGCAAUUCUGUGUGAAAGAUGAAGUUUUCGGAAUGUAAAGUGCUUUCAGUUGGGAAGCGGUACCAACAGAAGAAGUGACGGCUAAAUACGUGCCAGCAGCCGCGGUAAUUC
rnacentral:rRNA from 1 species